AUUGAACGCUGGCGGCAGGCCUAACACAUGCAAGUCGAGCGGAUGAAGGGAGCUUGCUCCUGGAUUCAGCGGCGGACGGGUGAGUAAUGCCUAGGAAUCUGCCUGGUAGUGGGGGAUAACGUCCGGAAACGGGCGCUAAUACCGCAUACGUCCUGAGGGAGAAAGUGGGGGAUCUUCGGACCUCACGCUAUCAGAUGAGCCUAGGUCGGAUUAGCUAGUUGGUGGGGUAAAGGCCUACCAAGGCGACGAUCCGUAACUGGUCUGAGAGGAUGAUCAGUCACACUGGAACUGAGACACGGUCCAGACUCCUACGGGAGGCAGCAGUGGGGAAUAUUGGACAAUGGGCGAAAGCCUGAUCCAGCCAUGCCGCGUGUGUGAAGAAGGUCUUCGGAUUGUAAAGCACUUUUAGUUGGGAGGAAGGGCAGUAAGUUAAUACCUUGCUGUUUUGACGUUACCAACAGAAUAAGCACCGGCUAACCUCGUG
rnacentral:rRNA from 1 species